CACGUAGGGCGCAAGCGUUGUCCGGAAUUAUUGGGCGUAAAGAGCUCGUAGGCGGUCUGUUGCGUCUGCUGUGAAAACUCGGGGCUUAACCCCGAGCCUGCAGUGGAUACGGGCAGACUAGAGGUAGGUAGGGGAGAAUGGAAUUCCCGGUGUAGCGGUGAAAUGCGCAGAUAUCGGGAGGAACACCGGUGGCGAAGGCGGUUCUCUGGACAGUUCCUGACGCUGAGGCGCGAAGGCCAGGGGAGCAAACGGGG
rnacentral:rRNA from 1 species